GUUUUUAAAAUGACAACAGGAAAACUAUUGGCUUGUGGAGAGUUUGUGGUAAAAUCUGACUGGCUGAACUAAACAUCAAUUAAGCCAGUCAGGGACACACCUGGAUCUGUUGUGGCUUAAAGAGCAGAUAUUGAUUUACAGAGACUGACUGACUCUAUGGAGUGGAUGCAGAGGACAAGCUAUCGAACACUAUUCUUUGGAACUCAUUUAAGGUGUGACCUUUAAAAAUUCCAGACUAACUUUUCAAACAAAUAAAAGAUGGAUGUUAAAAACACAUUGUGGAAUGGAACUCAAAAUUACAGUAUCAGAAGUAGCGAUGGCAAUACUGAAAUAUUCUGCUGGCAAAACAGUGAGAAGGCUGACAUCUUGUCCUACAUUAUUCUUAGCAUUUGCCUACCGGCAGCCCCAGUGGCCAUCUAUUCUCUUUUCAUUCAGGUGCGAAAUGAUCCCAUUUUUCCAGUGUUCAUGAUCAACCUGAUGAUUUCAGAUCUUGGCCAUCUCUGUUGCAUAAUUCUGACCUUGUUGCUUAAGGAAAACAUCAUAUGGGGGCGACUUAGGGAACGCAUCUACCAAUGUGUCCUGAUGGCCAGUGCUGGCUUCAUGCUGUGUGUCGCCCUAGAAAGGUAACCUUCCAGUAUGAAUUCAGUGUACUAAUUCAGUGUUAAAGCUUUAUUAUUAUUAUUAUUAUUAUUAUUAUUAUUAUUAUUAUUAUUAUUAUUAUUAUUAUCAUUAUUAUUAUUACUCAUUUUAGACUUAUCAAUCUGAUGCUCUUCAAAGUGUCUUUGUGUUUUCUACAUUACAGAUAUUUGGUCAUUGUCUUCCCAGUAUGGUACUGAUUCACACGAACAGUAAAGAUCUAUCUGGUGCUCUGUGUUACCGUUUGGUUCUUUUCCAUUUCUGCAGGGCUGUUUACUGAUGGUAAUUUAGCACUUCUUACUCUUCCUUUUUUCCUGCUUCUUUUCUUCUUGAUUAAGACUGUUAAAGCCCUGUCAGCUGUCCAAAGUGUCCCCUUUGACGAAAAACAAAGAAUUGUGGCCAUUUUGGUCACAGUGGUGCUAAUUUACCUGCUAAUUUUUUUCAGUGGAAUAAGCUUGAUUAUUGCUAGAAUGGUUACAGAUUACAGAAAUUGGAUCCACGUUGACAGAAUUCAUAGUGUGUUCUGCUGUGUAACUCAGUUUAAUCCCCUUUUAGACUUGUUUUUGUAUUUUUUUAUGAAAAAAUGGGCCGUUGACAAGCUCCUGGCUCAUCUUUGUUGUUGCAGAAUGGACAGCAAUGAUAUCAGUACAUUAGCAGCAUAACUGAUCACAACACAGAGUCUGCUUAAUGUAUGCAGAGAAAGAAGUGAGAGAGAAAAAAGCAAUUUACUAACAGAAAGGGUAGAAACAACAUGAAU
rnacentral:lncRNA from 1 species